UGAGGAAUAUUGCGCAAUGAGCGAAAGCUUGACGCAGCCAUGCCGCGUGAGUGAUGAAGGCCUUCGGGUCGUAAAGCUCUUUUCUGAGGGAAGAAUGGUCGAUGCAGGCAAUGGCAUCGAAUUGACGGUACCUCAGGAAUAAGGAACGGCUAACUCCGUGCCAGCAGCCGCGGUAAUACGGAGGUUCCAAGCGUUGUUCGGAAUUACUAGGCGUAAAGGGCAGGUAGGCGGAUCAGUAAGUCGGACGUUUAAUCCUCGGUCUUAAGCUGAGACAUGCGUUUGAUACUGUUGAUCUAGAAUGCGGCGGGGGAAGACGGAAUUCCGGGUGUAGCGGUGGAAUGCGCAGAUAUCCGGAGGAACACCGAAGGCGAAGGCAGUCUUCCAUACCGUAAUUGACGCUGAACUGCGAAGGUGUGGGGAUCAAACA
rnacentral:rRNA from 1 species